rnacentral:rRNA from 1 species
UUCCUACGGGAGGCAGCAGUAGGGAAUAUUGGUCAAUGGGCGAAAGCCUGAACCAGCAACGCCGCGUGCACGAUGAAGGCCUUCGGGUCGUAAAGUGCUUUUCUGGGAGAUGAGAAAGGACAGUAUCCCAGGAAUAAGUCUCGGCUAACUACGUGCCAGCAGCCGCGGUAAAGCGUAGGAGGCGAGCGUUAUCCGGAUUCACUGGGCGUAAAGCGCGUGCAGGUGGCUUGGUAAGUUAGGCGUGAAAUCUCCCGGCUCAACUGGGAGAGGUCGUCUAAUACUACCGGGCUUGAGAGCAGAAGAGGAAGAUGGAAUUCCCGGUGUAGUGGUGAAAUGCGUAGAUAUCGGGAGGAACACCAGUGGCGAAGGCGAUCUUCUGGUCUGUUUCUGACACUCAGACGCGACAGCUAGGGUAGUAAACGGGAUUAGAGACCCCGGUAAUCCUAGCCGUAAACGAUGUGAACUUGGCGUUGGUGGGUUAAACUCCAUCAGUGCCGUAGCAAACGCGAUAAGUUCACCGCCUGGGGACUACGGCCGCAAGGUUAAAACUCAAAGGAAUUGACGGGGGCCCGCACAAGCAGCGGAGCGUGUGGUUUAAUUCGAUGCUACACGAAGAACCUUACCCAGGCUUGACAUACAGGUGGUAGGGA